rnacentral:snRNA from 1 species
AGCUUUGCGCAGUGGCAGCAUUGUAGCCAAUGAGGUUUAGCCGAGGCAUGAUUAUUGCUAAUUGAAAACUUUUCCCAAUACCCCGCCAUGAUGACUUGAAAUAUAGUCGGCAUUGGCAAUUUUUGACAGUCUCUAUGGAGA